rnacentral:rRNA from 1 species
AAUCAACGCUGGCGGCGUGCCUAACACAUGCAAGUCGCACGAGAAAGGGGAGCAAUCCCUGAGUAAAGUGGCGCACGGGUGAGUAACACGUGAAUCAUCUACCUCCGAGUGGGGAAUAACUGAGAGAAAUCUUAGCUAAUACCGCAUAACACUUACGAGUCAAAGCAGCAAUGCGCUUGGAGAGGAGUUCGCGGCCGAUUAGUUAGUUGGCGGGGUAANGGCCCACCAAGACGAUGAUCGGUAUCCGGCCUGAGAGGGCGCACGGACACACUGGAACUGAAACACGGUCCAGACUCCUACGGGAGGCAGCAGUGGGGAAUUUUGCGCAAUGGGGGAAACCCUGACGCAGCAACGCCGCGUGGAGGAUGAAGUAUCUUGGUACGUAAACUCCUUUCGAUUGGGAAGAUAAUGACGGUACCAAUAGAAGAAGCCCCGGCUAACUUCGUGCCAGCCGCCGCAGUAAC